UACGUAGGGUGCAAGCGUUGUCCGGAAUUAUUGGGCGUAAAGAGCUCGUAGGCGGUCUGUCGCGUCUGCUGUGAAAACUCAGGGCUUAACCCUGAGCUUGCAGUGGGUACGGGCAGACUAGAGUGCGGUAGGGGAGACUGGAAUUCCUGGUGUAGCGGUGAAAUGCGCAGAUAUCAGGAGGAACACCGGUGGCGAAGGCGGGUCUCUGGGCCGUAACUGACGCUGAGGCACGAAAGCGUGGGGAGCAAACAGG
rnacentral:rRNA from 1 species